GGGCGCGUGGUGAAAUUGGCAUACACGCAGGAUUUAGGUUCCUGUGCCGCGAGGCGUGAGGGUUCGACUCCCUCCGCGCCCACCA
rnacentral:tRNA from 2 species